rnacentral:rRNA from 1 species
CUAUACAUGCAAGUCGAGCGACAGACGAGGAGCUUGCUCCUUUGACGUUAGCGGCGGACGGGUGAGUAACACGUAGGUAACCUACCUAUAAGACUGGGAUAACUUCGGGAAACCGGAGCUAAUACCGGAUAAUAUUUCGAACCGCAUGGUUCGAUAGUGAAAGAUGGCUUUGCUAUCACUUAUAGAUGGACCUGCGCCGUAUUAGCUAGUUGGUAAGGUAACGGCUUACCAAGGCAACGAUACGUAGCCGACCUGAGAGGGUGAUCGGCCACACUGGAACUGAGACACGGUCCAGACUCCUACGGGAGGCAGCAGUAGGGAAUCUUCCGCAAUGGGCGAAAGCCUGACGGAGCAACGCCGCGUGAGUGAUGAAGGUCUUCGGAUCGUAAAACUCUGUUAUUAGGGAAGAACAAACGUGUAAGUAACUGUGCACGUCUUGACGGUACCUAAUCAGAAAGCCACGGCUAACUACGUGCCAGCAGCCGCCGGGUAAUAA